CUGGUUGAUCCUGCCAGUAGUCAUAUGCUUGUCUCAAAGAUUAAGCCAUGCAAGUCUUAGUAUAAGCUGUUAUACGGUGAAACUGCGAAUGGCUCAUUAAAUCAGUUAUAGUUUAUUUGAUGAUUUCAGCUACAUGGAUAACCGUAGUAAUUCUAGAGCUAAUACAUGGGAAAAGACCCGACUUUUGGAGGGUUGUGUUUAUUAGAUAUGGUAACUGACGGCCCUUUAGUGGGAGAAGUUGGUGAAUCAUGAUAAAUGUUUUACGGAUCGCAUUUGUACGCAAGGAUGGCGAUGGAUCAUUCAAGUUUCUGCCCUAUCAACUUUCGACGGUUAGGUAUCGGCUAACCGUGGUGACCACGGGUAACGGGGGAUUAGGGUUCGAUUCCGGAGAGGGAGCCUGAGAAAUGGCUACCACUUCCAAGGAAGGCAGCAGGCGCGCAAAUUACCCAAUCCUGACAUAGGGAGGUAGUGACAAUACAUACUAAUGCGAGGCCAUUUGGUUUCGCAAUUGGAAUGAGUACAACUUAAACCUGUUAACGAGAAUCCAUUGGAGGGCAAGUCUGGU
rnacentral:rRNA from 1 species